ACCCCUGUGACCUUGACCUUGAACUGAGGGUCCGCGUUUAGGUUUCGAAAUCUGCGUUAAGGUUAAAAAAAUGCUCAUAACUUCUAUGUCCCUUGAGAUAUAACCUUCAUAUUUGGUAUGCAUGUGUAUAUGGACAAGGCCUUUCCAUAUGCACACAAUUUUUUACCCCUGUGACCUUGACCUUGAACUUAGGGUCCGCGUUUAGGUUUCGAAAUCUGCGUUUAGGUUUCGAAAAAUGCUCAUAACUUCUAUGUCCCUUGAGAUAUAACCUUCAUAUUUGGUAUGCAUGUGUAUAUGGACAAGGCCUUUCCAUACGCACAAUUUUUUUUACCCCUGUGACCUGCGCUGUCCGUCCGUCCACAUUUGGUUAGUAAACACUCUAGCAUUCACAUUUCUCAAGCAUUCUUUAUCAAAGUUGCUGAAAGAUCUCAGUCAAGAUUGAUGAUGAGCAAAAUCACAUAAUUAAUGCCAUAAUUAUUGCCCUUAGAUUGUCCAAAUUUUCAUUAUAUUAUACAAAAUCCUUGUAAGCAAAGUUUGAUGUUUGAUGUUUGGGGGGUCAACUCAUAAUAUAGGUCACCAUUUCAAAUCUUACAAAAACAAAAACACUCCCUACGCCAGAGCUUUGGUUCAAUAAUGAUGAAACUUGACCAGGAUGUUUGUCUGGUCAAUAUCUAGGUCAUGUUUGACAUUAGGUAAAGAUUGAAUGAACCGACUCCUCUCAGGUGAGCAACUAAGGCCAUCUUGGCCCUCUUGUUAUUAUUAACCAGGUUUUCCGAAGGAAAAAACUGGUUAUUAGAUUGGCGAAUGCGGGCGGGCUGGCUGGCUGGCUGGCUGGCUGGCGGGCUGGCGGAAUAAGCUUGUCCGGGCCAUAACUAUGUCGUUCAUUGUCAGAUUUUUAAAUCAUUUGGCACAUUUGUUCACCAUCAUUGGACGGUGUGUCGCGCGAAAUAAUUACGUCGAUAUCUCCAAGGUCAAGGUCACACUUUGAGUUCAAAGGUCAAAAAUGGCCAUAAAUGAGCUUGUCCGAGCCAUAACUAUGUCGUUCAUCGUCAGAUUUUAAAAUCAUUUGGCACAUUUGUUCACCAUCAUUGGACGGUGUGUCGCGCUAAAAAAUUACGUCGAUAUCUCCAAGGUCAAGGUCACACUUUGAGUUCAAAGGUCAAAAAUGGCCAUAAAUGAGCUUGUCCUGGCCAUAACUAUGUCAUUCAUUGUGAGAUUUUAAAAUCAUUUGGCACAUUUGUUCACCAUCAUGGGACGGUGUGUCCCACGAAAGAAUCACGUCAAUAUCUCCAAUGUCAAGGUCGCCACGACUAAAAAAAGAUUUAAAAAAAAAAAAAAACUUACAAAG